CGGCAACGGAUAUCUCGGCUCUCGCAUCGAUGAAGAACGUAGCGAAAUGCGAUACUUGGUGUGAAUUGCAAAAUCCCGUGAACCAUCGAGUCUUUGAACGCAAGUUGCGCCCGAAGCCAUCAGGCCGAGGGCACGCCUGCCUGGGCGUCACACGCCGUUGCCCCC
rnacentral:rRNA from 1 species